rnacentral:lncRNA from 10 species
GCGGAGCUUGCAGUGAGCCGAGAUCACGCCACUGCACUCCAGCCUGGGCGACUGAGCAAGACUCCGUCUCAAAAGAACAGCAACAACAACAACAACAACAAACCAUAGUCCUUUGUCAGUCUUUAGUCUACUACUUCUGACCUAUUAACAGCUCCUGGCCUUCCAUUUCUAGUUAUCCCAGAAGGACAUACUGGAACACCUUGCAGGUUACACACUUUGAUGGCACUAACUGCAUGUUAGAAUUGUGUGGCAAAGAACUGAAGGCAUCAGUCCAAAAGCCCAAAGAACUAAAUACCGCCAACAACCCCAUGAACUUGGAAGUGGGUCCUUUCCCAGUGAGCUCUGGAGAUGACAAAAGACAGACAACACCUUGAUUGUAGUCUGUGAGAAAACCUGAAGCAGAAGACCCAGCUAACUUGUGCUCAGAUUCCUGACCAAUACAAAUUGUGAGACAAAUGUGUAAUUUUUUAAGCCAAGUUUUUGAUAAUGUAAUAUGAAGUGAUAGAUAACUAAUACAAAAUAGAGAACUGGAUACAUAUGUU